GUGGUUAGAAAAAUGGAGGCAAAAACAUAAUAAGAGAAGUGGAGAGGGGAAAAGGAAAUCAGGAGAAUGGACAACCCAGAUCAAGUUUGUGAGAUCCAACGGGCCAAUGAGAUGGGUAUAUAAGGGAAGAGAUUAGGGUUUUUCUUCAUUUUUAGAGGAGAAACCGAAAAUGAGUGGGAAAAAGAGAGAGUCGAUAAGUGAGAGGGAAGAGAGGAGAUCUAUCGAGCAAGGGGGAGCCAAGAAGAAAAAAAAAGGAGAGGAAAUGAAGAGGGAGGCCAGAAAGAAGAAGGGAAAGGAGAGAAAAAAGAGGAAAGAGAAUAAAAGAAAGGAGGGACCGAGCGGGAAAGAGAAGGGGAGCCAGAGAGCGACCGUCGCGAGGGAAGAAGAAAAGAAAAAAGGGGCAGAGGCAGAAGAGUGUGGAAGUUGAACUAAAAGGAAGAAGGAGGAAAAGGGAACGACUCGAGAUGCCGUGUGACAGCGGAGACUGAGGCAAGCGAGGUGUAAAAAUCAUCAAUCCAAUUGCAAGUACGCAAGGAAGCCGUGGGGUGAUCGAGAGGAGGCGACUGAGAGCCAAGUCGAGGCCAAAUCUCCCACGCCAAAAAGUAAAAUGAUUUUUUUCAUGUUUUGGUGGUGGUUAAGCGACAAUGGGGCAGGACUGGUGUCGGGCUGGCCACAUGGGCUCGGUUGGGCCACCCACCCGCACUGGAACCGAGGAGAUUUCCUCAAGAAUGGGCAAAGCCGACCCAUUCAGGAAGUUGAAGGGUCUUCCCCGAGCAUGGGAACCUGAUCCACCAUUUUGGGAUUUAGAUUUACCGUUUGGGAAGCUAAAAAGUCUUCUUCAGGAAACGAAAAUCCGAUUUGCCGUCUGAGAAGCUGAAAAGUCUUUCUCAUAAAAUGAAAAUCUGAUUCAGCAAACAGGGAGCCGAAAGAUUUUUCGGGUACAGAUCCCAAUAAUUUCAGGUAUUCCGUUGGGUGGUCGUUGGAACCCGUAAUUUGAUUAAAUUAAUUUUUAGUAUUUCGAAGUAUUUUAAUUAAAUUAUAUCGUGUGUAUAAGAAAAUUUGGACAUUCAGGCGGAUAUGAAAAGAUACGUAGGAGUGUAAUUAUUUCUAAAUCUCAACCGGCUUUUGAAUUUCAAAAGGUGCAUUUAUUUUAUAAAAAUUAUUAAUUUUGAAAUUUAAACGGACAUUAACCCAAUUUUUGAUAGAAAAACAAAACCCAAAUUAUGAUUGGUAAACUUAAACAAUUAGAACCUUAUAAGUAGACAAAACCAGAAAAGAGACCCAAUGUACUGAGAGUUAUUUGGAUUGAUGAAAUAUAAAAUUGAAAA